rnacentral:sRNA from 1 species
UGCCACUGUGUUGCAUUAAUUCCAUUGAUUUCCAUUAUCUCCUCGUUCCAUAACACCAACACGGGAGAAGCGAUCGGGCCUUUGUCACUCAAUGGCGCUUUCUCGGUUCGCCUUGCAGAUUAAAAAAAAAAGGUGAUUUGUGAAAAGAAUUGUGUGGACUGCCAUGGGAAUUUCCCUCACCCUGGGGACAAUGAAUUGAAAGCUACUUGAAUAUGCACCAAUUAUUAGGAAGACCACACUUUUCUCGGAGUGGCACCAAUUCAUGAACAUUGGGCCCCAUCUCCCUUGUCCUUUCUACGAAUUGGGGUAGUUCUUACGUCCUUUCUUUCUUUCAAUUCAAACCUACGCCCCUUGUAUUUCCAGGUCUAGUUUGUUUAUUUUCUUUUAUAGAAGAGGGGGGAAGGGGGUUUCCUUCUCUUUUGUUUCCUUUUCUUUCUUCUUUAACGGAC